CCUACGGGAGGCUGCAGUAGGGAAUAUUGCUCAAUGGGGGAAACCCUGAAGCAGCAACGCCGCGUGGAGGAUGAAGGUUUUCGGAUUGUAAACCCCUUUUGUUAGAGAAGAUAAUGACGGUAUCUAACGAAUAAGCACCGGCUCACUCCGUGCCAGCAGCCGCGGUAAUACGGAGGGUGCAAGCGUUAUCCGGAAUCACUGGGCGUAAAGAGCGCGUAGGCGGGAAAGCAAGUCAGAAGUGAAAUCCUAUGGCUUAACCAUAGAACUGCAUUUGAAACUGUUAUUCUGGAGUGUGGGAGAGGUAGGUGGAAUUCUUGGUGUAGGGGUUAAAUGCGUAGAGAUCAGGAGGAAUACUCAUUGCGAAGGCGACCUGCUGGAACGUAACUGACGCUGAUGCGCGAAAGCGUGGGGAGCAAACAGGAUUAGAUACCCUAGUAGUC
rnacentral:rRNA from 1 species